rnacentral:misc_RNA from 1 species
GAAAAGAAUUAACGUACGAUUUAAUAGUGUUACUAUUUUUCAUUCAGUAUGAAUUAAUGUAAGGCACGUGGUAUCGUUUGGUUUACAAAGCGUAAACUGUCCCCUGUUAUACUCGUAUAACAUAGAAAUAAUAUGAUUCAUUCCUUAUACUUUAAUUUUCCAUUUAUAAGUAAGAACUUAUUUCCUUUAAUGGAUUUUCAGAGUUAAAAUUGCCAUCAAAGGCAGAAAGCGAUAACAGUAAACUGUUUCUCGAGCUUCGUUACUCUUGACUUUAUUGCUUUUAUAAAAAGGUCUAACUCCCAAACAUUGCUACCUGCCUUGAAUGUAAUAUUUACCCUCAGUGCGAAAAAUGUGACAAGUUAGAAUAGAAUUACAGAGUAGUGCAGAGAGAGAGAGAGAGAGAGAGAGAGAGAGAGAGAGAGAGAGAGAGAGAGAGAGGGGGCAAAUUUAAUAAAUACAUAUAUUUACGGGUAUUUUCUUCUGCAUGUUAUUUGAAAAUAUUACAUCAAAUAUGUAAUGUUUUAACAUACAAUUUUAUUAUUGAAUCUGAGGAAGAGGUUUUUACCGCACACAAUCUAAGUUUGGGUUACUAGUAUGUAUUUGAGAGAAACGGGGCUUGAUUGUCAUGUUGAUUUUUUAACCGCCGUAAUUAUGAAAAAGAAGAGUUCUAAACAUGUAGGAUAAUACCAGUUCGAAUUUUAAAGGUCAUACAUUUGCGUUUUCCUACUGUUAUUAUUUGAUAGAAAUCUCGAAUUUCAAUUUUCCAGUGGCUCGAUCAGAUGAGUAAUUGAUUGAUUGAUUAUCCAGCCUCUUUUAUAGAAGGUAUUUUAACAAGUAUUUGUGAAGUAUUUGUUUCAGAUCGCGUGUAACCACCUGCGGGGGGGGGGGGUUGAUGAUACAAUGUACAUGUAAUUAGAAUCGUUAUUAUAUAUAAUAGAUAUGUUAUAAAGACAAUACUAGGCAGAUAUGUGUGUAGCUAGGUUUUAAUAGGUCCUGUGCAUGGAUUCUUUUGUAUUACGAUUAAUUUAAACAGAUAUGUGACCCUAAUUUUUUUAAAUGGUUAAAUGGGCACGGUUAACAUUUUCAAUCGAUUAAAAAUUCACUCAAGAAUUAACUCUUGGUACAAGUAUUAUUGGGUUUCAGUGUUAGAUGUUGUUAGAUAUGGCCAAAAAUCGAUCAAGCAUGCAUUUAGAUAAAAAUUAAGUUUAUUCAACAUGUUGAUAUUCCAUAUAGAUUUUCGCAAAAACACACAAUGAUCUUAAAAAUCAUAAUAAAUAUUCAUUCAUAAAAUAUUAAUGAUAAAGAUUAUGAAUUAAAAUCAAUAUUUAGUUAGGUUUGGUUUGGUUUUUUUUUGGUGUUUUUUUUGGGGGGGGGGGGGGGGGUGUACUUUGCGAUUUGUUAAGGCAGCAUGUCUCUGCGUCUGGUAAUUAUUCAGGGAGGUUGGUGGGUCAGCUGCUACAUGAAAGUCCUGUGUUAUUUAUACACGUGUUGUACUUAGUGAAUGUGAUAUAUUCUCUGUCAUGUAUCCUCUUAUGUUUAUUUAUUUAUUUAUUUCUCGUAAAUUUGUAGUAUAUAUCAGCAUAUAUAUCAAGAACAAAAGUUUUGUGUCUCCUUACUGCUGUUAUGAAUUAUACAAUGUGCAAUUCUUAUCUUGUGUGUUUGUUAUUGGUAUACAUGUAUUAUUCGAAUUCAAAAAUAUAAAUGAGGUUAGG